rnacentral:rRNA from 1 species
GAUGAACGCUGGCGGCGUGCCUAAUACAUGCAAGUCGAGCGAACGGACGAGAAGCUUGCUUCUCUGAUGUUAGCGGCGGACGGGUGAGUAACACGUGGAUAACCUACCUAUAAGACUGGGAUAACUUCGGGAAACCGUAGCUAAUACCGGAUAAUAUUUUGAACCGCAUGGUUCAAAAGUGAAAGACGGUCUUGCUGUCACUUAUAGAUGGAUCCGCGCUGCAUUAGCUAGUUGGUAAGGUAACGGCUUACCAAGGCAACGAUGCAUAGCCGACCUGAGAGGGUGAUCGGCCACACUGGAACUGAGACACGGUCCAGACUCCUACGGGAGGCAGCAGUAGGGAAUCUUCCGCAAUGGGCGAAAGCCUGACGGAGCAACGCCGCGUGAGUGAUGAAGGUCUUCGGAUCGUAAAACUCUGUUAUUAGGGAAGAACAUAUGUGUAAGUAACUGUGCACAUCUUGACGGUACCUAAUCAGAAAGCCACGGCUAACUACGUGCCAGCAGCCGCGGUAAUACGUAGGUGGCAAGCGUUAUCCGGAAUUAUUGGGCGUAAAGCGCGCGUAGCGGUUUUUUAAGUCUGAUGUGAAAGCCCACGGCUCAACCGUGGAGGGUCAUUGGAAACUGGAAAACUUGAGUGCAGAAGAGGAAAGUGGAAUUCCAUGUGUAGCGGUGAAAUGCGCAGAGAUAUGGAGGAACACCAGUGGCGAAGGCGACUUUCUGGUCUGUAACUGACGCUGAUGUGCGAAAGCGUGGGGAUCAAACAGGAUUAGAUACCCUGGUAGUCCACGCCGUAAACGAUGGGUGCUAAGUGUUAGGGGGUUUCCGCCCCUUAGUGCUGCAGCUAACGCAUUAAGCACUCCGCCUGGGGAGUACGACCGCAAGGUUGAAACUCAAAGGAAUUGACGGGGACCCGCACAAGCGGUGGAGCAUGUGGUUUAAUUCGAAGCAACGCGAAGAACCUUACCAAAUCUUGACAUCCUUUGACAACUCUAGAGAUAGAGCCUUCCCCUUCGGGGGACAAAGUGACAGGUGGUGCAUGGUUGUCGUCAGCUCGUGUCGUGAGAUGUUGGGUUAAGUCCCGCAACGAGCGCAACCCUUAAGCUUAGUUGCCAUCAUUAAGUUGGGCACUCUAAGUUGACUGCCGGUGACAAACCGGAGGAAGGUGGGGAUGACGUCAAAUCAUCAUGCCCCUUAUGAUUUGGGCUACACACGUGCUACAAUGGACAAUACAAAGGGCAGCGAAACCGCGAGGUCAAGCAAAUCCCAUAAAGUUGUUCUCAGUUCGGAUUGUAGUCUGCAACUCGACUACAUGAAGCUGGAAUCGCUAGUAAUCGUAGAUCAGCAUGCUACGGUGAAUACGUUCCCGGGUCU